UACAGAGGUCUCAAGCGUUGUUCGGAUUCAUUGGGCGUAAAGGGUGCGUAGGUGGGUUGGUAAGUCAGUGGUGAAAUCUCCAGGCUUAACUUGGAAACUGCCAUUGAUACUAUCAAUCUUGAAUAUCGUGGAGGUCAGCGGAAUAUGUCAUGUAGCGGUGAAAUGCUUAGAUAUGACAUAGAACACCAAUUGCGAAGGCAGCUGGCUACACGAAUAUUGACACUGAUGCACGAAAGCGUGGGGAUCAAACAGG
rnacentral:rRNA from 1 species